AAGUGAGUUAGUCUAAAACUUAUGAUGAAAUAAAAUAAAUUUAGUAUCAAGAUCCCUAAGGUAAUAUAAUAAACAGAUAAGUUUAUACCUCUGAAUGCCUGGGCACUAGAUCCAAUACGUCCCUUUUGCUCAUGGACCAAUGGAAUGUGAGCCCAGGGUUGGCAUUGCUGAAGGAGAAAGGGGUCUGGGUACUGGUCACUCCCAUGACAUAAACUGGCAUCUGAAAAUGAAGAGUGGUUUUGUGCUAUACAUCCUGUCCAGCUGGCAUUAUCAAAGUAAUGAACCCGGAACAGAGCCAUCCUACUGACCUCAGUAGCUGUGAUGAGUCGAGUUGCAGCUGCAAGAAUCCUAACAGCCCUUAGCUGCACAACUUCAAUCUGCACUUCAUCCUGCUCAACAGGGUGGAGAGCAAGCUUAGGCUAAGAGGAAGUGUCUGUGGGGUGGAUGCUUAUGAUAACUAGUUUUUUUGUUGUUGUUUGGGGCAUUCAACAACAACAACAAACAUGCCAUAGAUAUAGGUUUUUUGUUUGUUUGUUUUUGUUUGUUUUGUAUUUGUUCUUGAAACAAUUCCUUAAGUAUAGGGACUAUGUCUUAUAACAAUGCCAAUACUCUGUGGGUUUUUCACUGAAGAUUACAUAUUUCCCAUGCCUGGUUAAGAGAAUACCAAAUGAGGGGACUGAAAAGACUUCCCUGGGCUGUUGACACCCUCCCCAUCACUAUUUCUUCCUCUACCUCCCAGUGAUUCCCAGAUGGAGGAGUAGAAGCAGAGCAGAACAAAGAACCAAUACCUGGGAAAACACAAUGACUUUUCCAGUAUCUUCAUUUACUGUCUGGAUGGUGCCAUGGACCACAGCUCUGCCAACUACCUUCCCUGUAACUUGGCCCCUCCUAUUAACAACAGCCACGGUCUGAUUACUGAUGGAGAAGUGAAUGAUAGAUUGAGGCUGAGGGCCACCUUCAGACAUUACCUGGAAUGUAAACACACCAGUGAAUGCCUGGACCUUGGGGAGAAGUCACAUCUCCUUUCCCAACCUUUUGUCCCAAUAACUCGACUUUUUCAUCUUCCCCCACUUUCCAACCAGCAUAUGCCACAUCACCUCAAAUGCACAUGAGAUGGAAGUGCUAUAAAUGAUCCAUGGGAUUCCAAGAAUUAGUUCAUACCAUGUUUCUCAUAGAACAAAGAAAAUACUAAUUUUCUUCUUUAUCAAAUCCUGUUGUACUUGGCUGAGAGUAGACAAGGGAAGGUCAACAGGAAGAGGUGUAUGUGUAUGUGUGUGUUGGGGUGGAGCAGAGGUGGGAUUGGGAGAAAGCCUCAUUUCUGGCUUUUGGAUCACCUGCAUCAUAUUAGUUGGAAUCAGUGUCAUUUUCUCUGGAACAAGUCUGAAUGGAGGAAACACCUUGAAGGAGAAAACCAAAAGGACAACAGUGAUUAACUACAGUCAGGUUCAUAGUAAAUGAUCACGUAGCUUAUUCUAAGGAAAAAAAUCCUAAUUAUGUACAAUGAAGUUAUAUACAAAAAUGUAUUUUAUUUAUAAAUGCAAAUUUUAUUUAUAAUAGCAAAAAAUUAUAAAUUACUUAAGUGAGAAUGAUUAAAUAAGUUAUUACGUAUCCACUCACUGUAAUAAAAGUGGUCAUUAAGAUUAUAUUUACACAAUGAGAUGUCAUCUCACACCAGUCAGAAUGGCCAUCAUCAAAAAAUCUAGAAACAAUAAAUGCUAGAGAGGGUGUGGAGAAGAGGGAACACUCUUGCACUGCUGGUGGGAAUGUGAAUUGGUACAGCCACUAUGCAGAACAGUAUGGAGGUUCCUUAAAAAACUACAAAUAGAACUACCAUAUGACCCAGCAAUCCCACUACUGGGCAUAUACCCUGAGAAAACCAUAAUUCAAAAAGAGUCAUGUACCAAAAUGUUCAUUGCAGCUCUAUUUACAAUAGCCUGGAGAUGGAAACAACCUAAGUGUCCAUCAUCGGAUGAAUGGAUAAAGAAGAUGUGGCACAUAUAUACAAUGGAAUAUUACUCAGCCAUAAAAAGAAACGAAAUUGAGCUAUUUGUAAUGAGGUGGAUGGACCUAGAGUCUGUCAUACAGAGUGAACUUGAGGGAUCUUACUUCCCGGACCAGGGAUGGAACCUGCGCCCUCAGCAGUGAAAGCGCAGAGCCCUAACCACUGGAAAUUUAUAAAAUUUAUAAAGAAGACGAAGUAUGAAUUUUGGAUGAGAUAAUUUCCUUACUUCAAUUUGCCGAGGAGCCGACGUGAAUUUUCUCCCCAUCUUGUCCCUGGCAAUAGCCACAAGUGUGGUUUGCCCAAUAGUGAUAGCUCGAAGGAUAUAAUUUUCAGAGUAUUCGUCCUGUUUCUCCAUUAGCCUGCAAAGACCCACAAAUUUCUAGCUCCUGCACAGCAGCAUGGUUUUUCACAUGCUUUGCCCAUAGGGCCUCAAUCUCCUCUUUUAAAAAGCAACAUUAUGACUACAAAUGAGCUUUGACCUGAGACCAUCAGUCUGGGAAUAUCUCUAGAACUCACCUGGACAGAGCUUUCUGCUUCCAGGGAGAAAAACAAAAACAAACCCAAAAAACAGUGAAUAAGGAAAUACACAAGAAACAGAAAACUGGGGUUCUAUGCUGACUCUGCAAUUAUAUUCCUAUGUGACCUUGGGCAAUCACUUUAUUUCUCAGUUCCUUUAUUAAAUGAGGGGUUGGGACAGACAAAAUCUAAAAUUCUUUCCAGCUCUAAUGGUUUGUGAGUCCAAAAAUAAGCUGACAAGAGGGUAUGGGAAAAUUUGUUUGAUUUAAAAAUAAA